UUAUUGGGUUUAAGGGAGCGUAGAUGGAUGUUCAAGUCAGUUGUGAAAGUUUGCGGCUCAACCGUAAAAUUGCAGUUGAUACUGGAUGUCUUGAGUGCAGUUGAGGCAGGCGGAAUUCGUGGUGUAGCGGUGAAAUGCUUAGAUAUCACGAAGAACUCCGAUUGCGAAGGCAGCCUGCUAAGCUGCAACUGACAUUGAGGCUCGAAAGUGUGGGUAUCAAACAGGAUUAGAUACCCUGGUAGUCCACACGGUAAACGAUGAAUACUCGCUGUUUGCGAUAUACGGCAAGCGGCCAAGCGAAAGCGUUAAGUAUUCCACCUGGGGAGUACGCCGGCAACGGUGAAACUCAAAGGAAUUGACGGGGGCCCGCACAAGCGGAGGAACAUGUGGUUUAAUUCGAUGAUACGCGAGGAACCUUACCCGGGCUUAAAUUGCACUCGAAUGAUCCGGAAACGGUUCAGCUAGCAAUAGCGAGUGUGAAGGUGCUGCAUGGUUGUCGUCAGCUCGUGCCGUGAGGUGUCGGCUUAAGUGCCAUAACGAGCGCAACCCUUGUUGUCAGUUACUAACAGGUGAUGCUGAGGACUCUGACAAGACUGCCAUCGUAAGAUGUGAGGAAGGUGGGGAUGACGUCAAAUCAGCACGGCCCUUACGUCCGGGGCUACACACGUGUUACAAUGGGGGGUACAGAGGGCCGCUACCACGCGAGUGGAUGCCAAUCCCUAAAACCCCUCUCAGUUCGGACUGGAGUCUGCAACCCGACUCCACGAAGCUGGAUUCGCUAGUAAUCGCGCAUCAGCCACGGCGCGGUGAAUACGUUCCCGGGCCUUGUACACACCGCCCGUCAAGCCAUGGGAGCCGGGGGUACCUGAAGUGCGUAACCGCGAGGAUCGCCCUAGGGUAAAACUGGUGACUGGGCUAAGUCGUAACAAGGUAGCCG
rnacentral:rRNA from 1 species